CACAGACAGGCUCAAGGACAGUGCCCAGGCUCUGAGUUCAAACCCCAUAACCGACAAAAAAAAUAAAUAUUAGCUGAAAUUCAUAUUUAACUAAGUAGCUUUUAUUUUACUUAGCAACCUUAUACACAAUCCCCUGGAAAUUGCUAAGUAUUUCUGGAAGCCCUCAGUUUGCUAGAGGUAUCUGUUUAGCACUGACUACUACUGUAGCUUCAGAGAAGAAGAAAAAUUCCAAUUAUAGUGAAUAAUUGAAGAUACAGAACUAGCUUUGCUGAUGGGGCUAUCACCUAAGACCUUGAACAUGCUAGGCAAAUGCUCUAACACUGAGCACCAUCAAUCAUUAGAUUAGCUUUGAAGUUAAUGUCCUCUGCAGUUCUGAGAAUAAAAAUAGCAGCUCCUUAUCCAUGAUGAGCCAGGAGGAUUUUUAGAACAUCAUUGAACUUUCUAGUUUGACAGGAAGUAGCUACAUAAAUGAUAUCCUUGAUAUAUCAUUCAGUUAGCUUAAGAUAGAAAGAUAACUUAGCACUUUCCUAGAGAAGCCUGCAUUUUCAUAGAAAAAUAUUGCUUUGGUAUGCAAAUAGGAUUGUUGGAAAGUUAUCAGACUGGCAAGUAGCAGACAUGGAGACAACGUUUAGCAUCUAAGUGGAAGUCAGUUUAUGUUUACAACACAUUUCUGGAUGAAAAUGAAACGGACAUACCUGUAUCUCAUAAAAGUUUUUUUUUAUACUACAACCUAUUUUUGUAUUAUCUAAAAAUAAAGGGAAUGACCACUAACAAAAAAGUUGUUAUAAUAGAAGAUUAUUGGCACUUACAGUGUUUGUAAUAUUAAUCAUUGUAUACUGUAUUGUUGUGGUCUAAAUGUUUUGAUAAUUCUUGUGUAAUAAAGGUUCUGGUCAGGCCAGAGGCAUUAGUCUGUAGUCCCAGCUACUUGGAAGACAGAAUCAGGAGGAUUAUGAGUUAUAGAUCAAUCCAAGAAAGUUAGUGAAACCUUGUCUCAAAUAAAGCAAUACUAUAGAAGUCAUUCACAAAGCUGCUAUUGCUCUCAUUGUAUCAGUAUUAAAAUGCAUCUUUAAAAAAAAACAAAAUCAAAUGCAUCUUUAACUAAUUUCAUGACAUUUUAUAUUGCAACUAUUUGACUAACCUAUAAAUGGUAUGGCUUUAUUAAACUAUUUAUAAGUACUAUGACUUAUUAAACUAUUGUUUACUUCUAA